GACGAACGCUGGCGGCGUGCUUAACACAUGCAAGUCGAACGGAAAGGCCCUGCUUUUGUGGGGUGCUCGAGUGGCGAACGGGUGAGUAACACGUGAGUAACCUGCCCUUGACUUUGGGAUAACUUCAGGAAACUGGGGCUCAUACCGGGUAGGAUCUCCUGCUGCAUGGUGGGGGUUGGUAAGUUUCGGCGGUUGGGGAUGUACUCGCGGCUUAUCAGCUUGUUGGUGGGGUAGUGGCUUACCAAGGCUUUGACGGGUAGCCGGCCUGGGCGGGUGACCGGCCACAUUGGGACUGAGAUACGGCCCAGACUGCUACGGGAGGCAGCAGUGGGGAAUAGUGCACAAUGGGCGGAAGCCUGAUGCAGCAACGCCGCGUGCGGGAUGACGGCCUUCGGGUUGUAAACCGCUUUCGCCUGUGACGAAGCGUGAGUGACGGUAAUGGGUAAAGAAGCACCGGCUAACUACGUG
rnacentral:rRNA from 1 species